rnacentral:rRNA from 1 species
GUGCCACCGCGGUAAUACGUAGGGUGCGAGCGUUAAUCGGAAUUACUGGGCGUAAAGGGUGCGUAGGCGGUCUGACAAGUCUGAUGUGAAAUCUAUGGGCUCAACCCAUAGUCUGCAUCGGAAACUGUCGGGCUUGAGUAUGGGAGAGGUGAGUGGAAUUUCCGGUGUAGCGGUGAAAUGCGUAGAUAUCGGAAGGAACACCUGUGGCGAAAGCGGCUCACUGGACCAUUACUGACGCUGAGGCACGAAAGCUAGGGGAGCAAACAGG